rnacentral:rRNA from 1 species
CGUGUGCAGCGGUGCCCUUCCAUCCUUCUGUUAACGUUUCUGAUAUUCAUUUAUUGGUCUCGGGCUCAGAUAUUUUACCUUGAGAAAAUUAGAGUGUUCCAGGCAGGCUUGCGCCGGAAUACAUUAGCAUGGAAUAAUAGAAUAGGACAUCGCUUCUACUUUUCGUUGGUUUAUAGAAGCGGCGUAAUGAUUAAUAGAGAUAGUUGGGGGUAUUCAUAUUUAAUUGUCAGAGGUGAAAUUCUUGGAUUUAUGAAAGAUGAACUCCUGCGAAAGCAUUUAUCAAGGAUGUUUUCAUUAAUCAAGAACGAAAGUUAGGGGAUCGAAGACGAUCAGAUACCGUCGUAGUCUUAACCAUAAACUUUGCCGACCAGAGAUCAGGAGACGUUACAUGGAUGACUCCCCUGGCAUCUUGCGAGAAAUCACAAGUCUUUGGGUUCUGGGGGGAGUAUGGUCGCAAGGCUGAAACUUAAAGGAAUUGACGGAAGGGCACCACCAGGAGUGGAGCCUGCGGCUUAAUUUGACUCAACACGGGGAAACUCACCAGGUCCAGACAUAACUAGGAUUGACAGAUUGAUAGCUCUUUCAUGAUUUUAUGGGUGGUGGUGCAUGGCCGUUCUUAGUUGGUGGAGUGAUUUGUCUGGUUAAUUCCGAUAACGAACGAGACCUUAACCUGCUAAAUAGCCAGGCUGGCUUUUGCUGGUCGCCGGCUUCUUAGAGGGACUGUCAG